GGCCUGCCACUUCCGGUGCCGCCUGCAGGGCGGGACUUGUCACCCAGCAACGAGGGCUUAGGUCUUUUUGGAUUUGCUGACUCUCUGCGCCUGCGGAGGCCUGGGACAGACUAAUGCAGAGCAGAUGCCCAAGGAGGAGGGGAGGACGACUAGGACACUACCGCACACACACAAGCUGAGACAGCGAGCCCCUGCAGUAGUGUAAGCUCAGCCCAGUAUUUGGGGAAAACUUAGGGGGCCCCGGAAGCUUGUACACCGCUGUCCCCAGGAACUUACAGUGGGAUUAAAAAAUAAGGAUAAAUUUCUAUGAAGUUUUUUAACACUGAAUGCAUUUGGAGGUUGAAGAAGGGAGAAAGCUUUUUGGGGUCCCAGUGGAGACCCCAAAAGGCUUUCUGAAGGAAGUAGGACUUCGUGUGGGGACAAUUUAGAGUUGGGGACGGGGGCGGGGCGGGAAGAAGUGUGGUGGAAACAGAAAAGGAAGGCUGAGUGGAGGGGAGUGAUGGGAGAGGGCUAGGAAGCAGGCCAACUUGUGCAUUUGAGAGUAGUGGUGGAAGCAGCAGGAACUUACAGAGUUAGGACUUUUAGCUUGUGGGCCGUAGGGUGCUAGCCGACCCUUGGAGAGGGUUACCCAAUGAAAGAAACACUUUUGUUCUUUUAUCUUCAGAGUGGAGUGGAUGAGCAGCAAGAGGUUGUGGCAGUAGUGAUUUUUUAAUCAACUACUUCUCACUAUAGCCACUGCUUACAUCCCUGGUCCAAGAUGCCAUCAUCUAUCCUCUGGAUGAGCAGUGGUAUUUUGCCUGCUUUUCUUGCUUCCACUGUUGCCCCCUCUUUAGUCUAUUCUCAACAGUGCAGCUCAGAGUAAUUCUGAUAAAAUAUGAAUAAAAACGGAUACAAGGAUACUUAUCUGGCAGAGGAGAUACCAUGAUCACCAAGGUGGUUUCCCUAGGGUAAGGCUUAAACAUUGUACUUCGUGUGCGCUGACCCCUGUGAUUUCGCCAAAUGUGGGAAAAUUGACUGCAUAAUUUAUGGUAGUGGGGGACUGCUUCACCCUCUCCCAGAAAAAAAAA